GGGCAGAGGUGCUGGAACUAGGAGUGCUGGGGGGCUGCCGCACCCCCGGCUUGAAGUGGUUUCCGUUCUAUGUCUCCAGCGCCCCCACUGUACACGUUGUUCCAGCCGCCCGGGCUGGGGUUUGACUGAUGCACCUUCCCUUCUGCUGUUUAUAGGAUGAAGAGACAGGAUGGACGCAGCUGACUGCCAGCUGGUGGAACAGCAGGAUCACACCCAUCUGCCACCACUGAGCACAGCCGAGCUCCAUCCUCUUUGGAACCCCCUUCAGGACCUACAGCCUGGGAUCCAGUCACCCCUUCACCUUCUCUUUAAGCUGAACAGAUGGAGUUCCUGGAGUCUCUCACUGUAAGAUAGAAGUUCACACAUCUAGGAAGAGGGAAGGCAGGGCACUCCGACGGCCUGGGGACUGUAUCUGGGGAAGCAGUGCCUCUGAAUGGACCGAGCCCAGAGUGUACAAGCAGCUCAGCAUGGCUCCCAGCGGGAUCCUGUGGCACGAAGGGUAACGCCGCCCUUGGGUGCAGAAACGGGAGCAGGGAGGUGAUUUUGCCUUUGUACAAAGCGCUGGUGAGACCGAGACUGAUCCUGCACCCAGCGCUGGUGGCCACAUUUUUAAAAGAACGUUGAAAAACAGGAGAAGGGCAUCCCUGAGAUGGAGAGAAAUAUGGUCUAGAUGAAAUUACUAUGACGUGGGUGCACAACAGGUUGAAAGAGUGUAUUCAAAGAGUACUUAUCAACAGUUCACUGUCCAACUGGGAGGGUGUCUCUCGUGGGUCCCGCAGGAAUUAAUCCUAGCUUUAGUACUAAUCAAUAUUUUCAUUAAUGACUUGGCUAAUGGAGAGGAGAGAAUGCGUGUAAAAUUUGCAGGUGACACCAAGUUGGGAGAGUUGGAAGCACUUUGGAGGACAAGAUUAGAAUUCAAAAUGACCGUGACAGUUUGGAGAAUUGGUCUGAAUUCAAGAUGGAAUCCAAUAAAGGCAAAUGCAAAGUACUUCACUUAGGAAGGAAAAAUCAAAUGCACAACUACAAAAUAGGGAAUAACUGGGGAGGUGGCAGCGCUGCUGAAAAGGAUCUGGGGGUUAGCGUCAAAGAGAGAUUGAAUGAGGCAACAAUGGGAUGCGGUUGAAAAAGGCUAAUAUCAUUCCGGGGUACGUAAGACAUGGGAGCAGGGCCGGUGCUACCAUUUAGGCAAACUAGGCGGUUGCCAUGGGCGCCAAGAUUUGGGGGCG